rnacentral:rRNA from 1 species
AUGACCGUGACGCUCCAAGAUAUUGCUAUGAUCACCGGUCUUCCUAUCAAUGGGAAUCCUCUAUGUAUGAACACCGAUUCUGAUGGGUGGCACACGAAUAUGCAUGCCCUUAUCGGUAUGGUUCCUCCGGAGCCUCGGCAACCAGAAGCAGAAAACAAGAAGAAGUAAAGAGUCGCAACUGGUGCUCCUUUCAUGUGGAUUACUGGGCACUUUGGUACUUGCCCUAAGGAAGCUAAUGAGGACACGGUCAAGACAUAUGCUCGUGUCUACAUGUGGUACGUGAUAUCCAGGACUAUGUUUGCUGAUGGCAUAGGAAAGAAUGCUCCAUGGAUGUGGCUGAAGGCGUUGACCGUCUUCGAUAGCAAAUGGAGUUGGAGUUCGGCGACACUGGCUUACUUGUAUAGAUAG